CGCGCAUGCAUAGAUGCCGCGGCGCGGCGCCCCAGUCAGUUACUCGCUGGCUGUCGUGAAGACGUGUGCUCGGUUGCUCCGCAAUCCCCGUGCCCUCUCAGUUUCUGCCUGACUCUCGGAUGGAGCAGACGCACCCGUCGACGCGGGGGAAAAGAGCUAUGAUGGUGGCGCCAUCUGGUGUGAUGCCUUGCAAUUACUUGGCCACCUGUCAUCAAUCUCUGCAACUGCUGGGUGCCAACUACCAACAUGGCGGGCGCUGGUCACUCGGGUCUUCCGGAGCGGUUUCUUCGGGACGGCAUCGUUGAUUUUCGAAUAAAUUGUUUCUCUCCACUCUA